rnacentral:RNase_P_RNA from 1 species
ACAGAUGAUCGCGCCUAUUAAUGCCGAAAGGCUUUAGGUGAGGAAAGUCCGAGCUUCAUAGGGCAGGAUGCCGGAUAACGUCCGGUGGAGGCGACUCCAAGGCUAGUGCAACAGAAAUAAACCGCACAUUUAUGUGUAAGGGUGGAAAGGCGAGGUAAGAGCUCCCCGCGUAUUUGGUAACAAAUACGGCUAUGUAAACCCCAUCCGAAGCAAGACCGAAUAGAAAAGCUAUGUGGUGGCCCGUCACGCUUUCGGGUAGGUCGCUUGAGCCUGGUGGUAACAUCAGGACCAGAUAGAUGAUCAUCUAAUACAGAACUCGGCUUAUAGUGUUACUCGU